rnacentral:rRNA from 1 species
UACGAGGGGGGCAAGCGUUGUUCGGAAUUACUGGGCGUAAAGGGCUCGUAGGCGGCCAACUAAGUCAGACGUGAAAUCCCUCGGCUUAACCGGGGAACUGCGUCUGAUACUGGAUGGCUUGAGUUCGGGAGAGGGAUGUGGAAUUCCAGGUGUAGCGGUGAAAUGCGUAGAUAUCUGGAGGAACACCGGUGGCGAAGGCGGCAUCCUGGACCGACACUGACGCUGAUGAGCGAAAGCCAGGGGAGCAAACGGG